rnacentral:tRNA from 1 species
GGUGGUAGUUUAAAUAAAACUGUGGCUUUGGAGGCCACAAAUCCUCACUGGCUACCUGA